AUAUCAAUAAGCGGAGGAAAAGAAACCAACAGGGAUUGCCUUAGUAACGGCGAGUGAAGCGGCAAUAGCUCAAAUUUGGAAUCUGGCUCUUUCAGAGUCCGAGUUGUAGUUUGUAGAGGAAGCUUCGGCAGAAUUAGGCUGCAGUUAAAGUUCCUUGGAACAGGAAGUCAGAGAGGGUGAGAAUCCCGUUUAUGACUGAACUUUGCCCUGCCAUAUGUAGCUCCUUCGACGAGUCGAGUUGUUUGGGAAUGCAGCUCUAAAUGGGUGGUAAAUUUCAUCUAAAGCUAAAUAUUGGCCAGAGACCGAUAGCGCACAAGUAGAGUGAUCGAAAGAUGAAAAGCACUUUGGAAAGAGAGUUAAACAGUAC
rnacentral:rRNA from 1 species